GCUUGUCUCAAAGAUUAAGCCAUGCAUGUCUUAGUGUAAAUAACUCUUAUGAAACUGCGAAUGGCUCAUUAAAUCAGUUAUCGUUUAUUUGAUGGUCCCUUACUACAUGGAUAACCGUAGUAAUUCUAGAGCUAAUACGUGCGCACAACCCGACUUCUGGAAGGGUCGUAUUUAUUAGAUAAAAGGCCGACCGGGCUUGCCCGACUCGCGGUGAAUCAUGAUAACUUCACGAAUCGCAUGGCCUCGUGCCGGCGAUGUUUCAUUCAAAUUUCUGCCCUAUCAACUUUCAACCGUAAGGUAGUGGCCUACGGUGGUGGUAACGGGUGACGGAGGAUUAGGGUUCGAUUCCGGAGAGGGAGCCUGAGAAACGGCUACCACAUCCAAGGAAGGCAGCAGG
rnacentral:rRNA from 1 species